rnacentral:rRNA from 1 species
UGAGGAAUAUUGGUCAAUGGUCGCAAGACUGAACCAGCCAUGCCGCGUGUAGGAAGACGGUCCUAUGGAUUGUAAACUGCUUUUAUACAGGAAGAAACCCUCCCACGUGUGGGAGCUUGACGGUACUGUAGGAAUAAGGAUCGGCUAACUCCGUGCCAGCAGCCGCGGUAAUACGGAGGAUCCAAGCGUUAUCCGGAAUCAUUGGGUUUAAAGGGUCCGUAGGCGGUCUUAUAAGUCAGUGGUGAAAGCCCAUCGCUCAACGAUGGAACUGCCAUUGAUACUGUAAGGCUUGAAUGCUUAGGAAGUAACUAGAAUAUGUAGUGUAGCGGUGGAAUGCUUAGAUAUUACAUGGAAUACCAAUUGCGAAGGCAGGUUACUACUAAGUGAUUGACGCUGAUGGACGAAAGCGUGGGGAGCGAACAGGAUUAGAUACCCUGGUAGUCCACGCCGUAAACGAUGGAUACUAGCUGUUCGGCGCAAGUUGAGUGGCUAAGCGAAAGUGAUAAGUAUCCCACCUGGGGAGUACGCACGCAAGUGUGAAACUCAAAUGAAUUGACGGGGUCAUAGCUGUUUCCUG